UUGCUUUGGCAGCAAAUAUACUAAAAUUAAAACAAUACAAAAAAAUUAGCAUGGCCCCUGCACAAAUAUGACAUGAAAAUUUAUGAAAUAUUCCAUAUUUUU